rnacentral:sRNA from 1 species
AGCUGACGAGCUCCUGAACCUGGUGGUGGACCAGGGUGUGAAGUACACGGAGCUGGAGUACAUCCACGCCCUGACCCUGCUGCACCGCAGCCAGACGGGGGUGGGGGAACUGACCACCCAGAACAUGAGGCUGCAGCGGCUCAAAGAGAUCAUCUGCGAGCAGGCUGCCAUCAAGCAAGCCACCAAGGACAAAAAGAUAACUACCGUUUAGCAGGGCGUACGGUGGUUGGUGACAGGGGUCCCCUCAGUCACACUCACUUUUUUCCUUGCAAAUAUUCCCCAGAAGCGUAAUAUGUGCUCCAUGCUGCCACACACAAGGGCAAAUGGAUAGAUGAAGAGGACACCCUUAUUAUCUAAGAGUGUGGGAACUGGACUGGAGCCAAAAAUCCCAACAGCUCAAACUCAGGGCUGGGUCAGAAUCAGGCGGAGAACCCGGAGUGGUGACAGUGAUGGCAGCAGAGCCAGGGUGAGACUGAGAGUGCUCAGACUAAUUUUCUUGGAAGUAGUGGAAAGUUCCACUAAAAAAGAGACGUGGGUUUGGAUUGAGCAGAAUGUCAAGAGCCCUGAGAACCAACCAAAAAAUGGCAGAUGCGCUGUUUCAGGGGCAACAUUUAGGAAAGUGAAAUCUCUGCUUUGCUUACAAUGACGGGACUGAAAGUGGCAAUUCUGCACAGGAAAGGGGCUCUGGAACUCUUCCAAGACAUUUAGGACAUCCAAGUUUCUUUGAAGGUUGGCACAUCAGUCUUUAUUCUU